rnacentral:rRNA from 1 species
AUGGCAAUUGUCCAUACAUACGGGAAGCCUGACAUCUUCUUGACCAUGACUUGCAAUCCUAAAUGGGAAGAGAUAACGAAUGAGUUGCUGCCUGGUCAGACGGCGCAAGACCGACCUGAUAUUGUGGGUCGCGUGUUCUACGGCAAGCUAGAGGCUAUGAAGGACAUGUUGUUCAAGAAGCAUAUCCUGGGUGUUAUUGUCGCAUAUGUAUAUGUAGUCGAGUUCCAAAAAAGGGGCCUC